rnacentral:rRNA from 1 species
CCCGCUGAACUUAAGCAUAUCAAUAAGCGGAGGAAAAGAAACUAACAAGGAUUCCCCUAGUAACUGCGAGUGAAGCGGGAAAAGCUCAAAUUUAAAAUCUGGCAGCUCUGCUGUCCGAGUUGUAAUCUGUAGAAGCGUUUUCUGCAUUGGACCGUGUACAAGUCUCUUGGAACAGAGUGUCAUAGAGGGUGAGAAUCCCGUUCAUGACACGGACUACCAAUGCUUUGUGAUACGCUCUCAAAGAGUCGAGUUGUUUGGGAAUGCAGCUCAAAAUGGGUGGUAAAUUCCAUCUAAAGCUAAAUACAGGCGAGAGACCGAUAGUGAACAAGUACCGUGAGGGAAAGAUGAAAAGCACUUUGGAAAGAGAGUUAAACAGUAUGUGAAAUUGUUGAAAGGGAAACACUUGAAGUCAGUCACAUCCUGCAGGACUCAGCCUUGCCUUAUAGGCUUAGUGCACUUCCUGCAGGAUGGGUCAACAUCAAUUUUGGUCGGUGGAUAAGGGAUGGGGGAAUGUGGCACCUUUGGGUGUGUUAUAGCCUCUCUUCAUAUACAUUGACUGGGAUUGAGGAUUGCAGCAUGCCCUUGUAGGCCAGGACCUAUCAUGUUACAUGCUUAGGAUGUUGACAAAAUGGCUUUAAGUGACCCGUCUUGAAACACGG